CAGUAGCCGCGGUAAUACAGAGGGUGCGAGCGUUAAUCGGAUUUACUGGGCGUAAAGCGUGCGUAGGCGGCUUCUUAAGUCGGAUGUGAAAUCCCUGAGCUUAACUUAGGAAUUGCAUUCGAUACUGGGAAGCUAGAGUAUGGGAGAGGAUGGUAGAAUUCCAGGUGUAGCGGUGAAAUGCGUAGAGAUCUGGAGGAAUACCGAUGGCGAAGGCAGCCAUCUGGCCUAAUACUGACGCUGAGGUACGAAAGCAUGGGGAGCAAACAGGAUUAGAGACCCCUGUAGCCCUGUCUCUUAUACA
rnacentral:rRNA from 1 species